AUUGAACGCUGGCGGCAUGCUUUACACAUGCAAGUCGAACGGUAACAGGCCUUCGGGUGCUGACGAGUGGCUAACGGGCGCGUAAUUCAUCGGAACGUACCCAGAGGUGGGGGAUAACGCAGCGAAAGCUGUGCUAAUACCGCAUGUGAUCUGAGGAUGAAAGCGGGGGACCGAGCAGCAAUGUUUGGCCUCGCGCCUUUGGAGCGGCCGAUGUCGGAUUAGCUAGUUGGUGGGGUAAAGGCCUACCAAGGCGACGAUCCGUAGCUGGUCUGAGAGGACGACCAGCCACACUGGGAGUGAGACACGGCCCAGACUCCUACGGGAGGCAGCAGUGGGGAAUUUUGGACAAUGGGCGCAAGCCUGAUCCAGCAAUGCCGCGUGCGGGAAGAAGGCCUUCGGGUUGUAAAGCGGUUUUGGCAGGAACGAAACGGUGUCCGCUAAUACCGGGCGCUAAUGACGGUACCUGCAGAAUAAGCACCGGCUAACUACGUG
rnacentral:rRNA from 1 species